rnacentral:sRNA from 1 species
GAAUAGCCCUGAUUGAAGCGGCAUCCUUUUUCUGCGUUGGCUGAAAAGCAUUGGCGAAAAAGAUACAGCGGAAAGCAGGUUCCCGG